CGCCGCCUCGCCUCCAGCAGCUCUGCCUGCCUUGGUGAGGAGAAAAAAAUGUUUAACUAAUGGAAAAAGAAAGCAACAUCCUAACGCCCUACAAUGAGGAAGACCCCAUCCUGACAGUACUUAGAUGCUUCCAUAUAAUAAAUACAGCAGGUAGCAGAGCAAAGUCACAAAUAUUGGCUUGGUUUUUAUUUCUAUGCUUAUAAAAAAAAUAUGAAGCUUCUUUGUGUGGACUGAAGGGGUGUUAGCCUGUGGAUGUUGGUCUUCGGUGCCUGUACCCCAGUGGCUGUUUACAUUCCAGGCCCCUGCUAAAUAAAGCAGGCUCCACUGCCAGCUGUCUGUACACUUUUUCUUGGGGGAAGAGAUCUUGUCUUCAGUUUACUGCAGUAGGGUUCCUGGCUCUGUUACAUGCUCAUGUGUUCCGGAAGAACAUAUGAAAUAUCAUCCCACGGAUGACGAUACAGCCCCUGCUUCAGCCUCUUCUGAUCAAGAUAGUGUCCUAA
rnacentral:lncRNA from 1 species